UGUAUCGCAUAGCCUUCGCUUGCGCACGCGGCGUUGCAUUGCGAGCUAUUUACAUAACACCAGACUGUGAUUACUUUGAUACUUUUAUCUGACGCGAUAUAUGUGUUAAAUUUGAUUCAAGUGCUUUAAUAACUUAUCAGUCGAGAUGAAAACAUCAACUUCGGUUAUAUUACUGGCGGUAUUAAUUUCGCAAACACAGUCGGCGCCCCAAUUUAUUACGUUCAAAGAUGGGAAAAUUGGAGUCAACUUUGGCGGCUACCACGCGGGCGUUGGGUUUGGUGGACUAUUUGGCGGAAAUACUGCAGGAGGUUUGUAUGCUGAAGCCGGUACCCCUCAUGGUCAAUCAGCAAUAGCCGGCCUUGGAGGUGCAGUCGCAGGACAAAAUGGAGGAUCAACAGGUGGAUUAUUUGCUGGAGCAACUGCAGGCAAUGGUAUUCAAGCACAGGCAGGUCUUGCUGGAGGAGUGAAUGGUGAUAAUUCAGCUGCAGGACAAGGAUAUGCAUCGGCUCAAGCAGGAAAUAAUUAUGCCGCAACUGGAAUGGAAGGUGCAACUUCCUUAGAGGGCUCAUCAGGAUUAUCCUUCUCGAAAAAAGUCACGCCAGUACAUAAAAAAUUACACACUGAGAUAAAUAUCGACUCAGUCAAUGAAGUACAGCCAGCUGUUGAAAUAGAAAAGAGAGUUAUACAUGAAUCUGUACAACCAGUCGUCGUGAAAGAAGUUUACAGCGUACCUCAAACUCAAGUAGUCGAAAAAGAAAUUAUUCACACACAUUACAAACCACGUAAACACCAUCACCGUAAAACAGCAUUUCUCGGUGGUUAUAUAGGAGGACAAGGUGAUAUUGUUGGACCUCCACAAAUCCAAAAAAGGAUUGAUGUUGACGUUGACGCAUCUGCUCAUGCCGAUGUAGCAGCACAAGGAAGUGCUAAUGGUGGAAUUGCCACAACUUAUACUAAAGAAGUUACAAUUCAGAAAAACCCCUCAUUUUUCGCUGACAUUUUUAACAUUCCCAUUUCUACACUGAAAGCAGUGGGUAACUUCCUUGGGAAUACGGCCGCAAAUACACACGUGGCCGUACAAAAAUCUGCACAAGUGCAAGCAGAAACUGACUCCAUAUCAUCAAAGCAUGAACCAUCAUCAUCAUCAUUACCUUCAUCUUCGUCUUCAUCAGCGCACAUAUCGGUAGAAACACCGAGCGCUUCAAAAUUCAUUGAUGACAUUUUAGCUGUAAGUUUAUCACUACCAGUUGAUGCUUCUUAUUAUUUAUUCGUCUAAACUACUAACACAUUUUCUUUAUUAAAAAAAAAAAUAGCAUAAGGUUCUUGUGUUUGUGUGAUUUUUGCUUAUUAAUAUUUUUUUCAGAUGUAAUUUUUAGUGUCUCCUAAUUAAUAUUUUGCAGUUAUUUGUGUUUGAUAUAAGUCUAGAUAAGAAAAGUGCUAUGGUUUGGUUAGUGUCCAAAACACAUACCAAUUAACACGUUGAGUGCUGUUAAUACAUUUUUAGAAAACAAUGUGCCGGCAAGAAAAUCUGUUCAG